rnacentral:lncRNA from 1 species
CGACAGCUAUUGAUUUGAGACUAUGUUAUUUUUUUUGAGAUAGUUUAGAAACUUCCACUAAGGUGUAUACCUCCUUGAUCUAAUCGAAUAAUCUUAAAGAGUUUUUUAAUUUACUUCUUUAUCUCAUAUUUGAAUUUUUUAAAUUUUUUAAAAAUUUUAGAUUUAUAUCUCAUACACAUAUCCAUACCACGAAUAAUCAUCAGCAAAGGCAAUGAAAUAAAGAUAACCACCCCUGGUCUGCACAUCAAAUAGGUUGCAUGCAUACAUCAGUGUGCACUAAGGCAAGAUCUCAGUAGUUCCCUCCUCUUAUCCUAUAAAAGGUUAUUUGAUCAUUUUUCCUUGAAGAAAAGACUCACAAACUGGAUAGGACAUUAGCUAAAAAGCUCAUCUUUCUUCAAUCUAUUUAUCCUAUCCUCUCCAAUAUGAUCAAGCUUAAAGUGCCAUAUAUACUUUAGGUUCAUCUCAUCUCUGGAUCUCUCAGAUUCUAUGACACUCACUAUCUACUUAGAAAUAUUUAUAGACACAUCCAUAUGCAAAUUACAUAGUUUCAUGAGCAAGUCUAACACACCUUCCAAAGGCGUGUUCUCUUUGUUCUUCAGGAACUCCAGGUAUAUAAGAUAGUUUCUUUUCUAAUGAUCAUCAAUAUUACAGCAAAAAUUCUUUCCCUUUGUUAGUGACCUUCUUCUUAGGAACUUUUCUUUUUGGCUUACUCUCUGUCUUUUGCUUUUUCAUAGGCUUCUUCUUCCAAGUAGACUUUCUAUUGGUAUAAGUAGUCUCCUCCACAAUGAGAGCCAUGUCCCUUGAACCCUUCAAGGCUCCUUUAGCAGUUACCAACAUGUUUAACAAUUUGAUCUUGAUACAGUCAAUAUUAUUUAUAUGGUAGUUUACUAUAAACUGUCCACAUAAAUCAGAGAGAGAUUGCAUGAUCAAAUUCGUUUGUAAUUUUUUAUGCAUCUCAUGUUGAGCUUCUCAAGCUUCUCUAAAUCUUUGAUUAUUGUCAAAUAAUGACCAUGGACAAAUUGAAAUUGCCCUUUGGUCAAUCAUCAGACAAUUUGGUAAUACGGGGAUCUCCUAAUCGAGAGCUUAGCUUAACUUUUUGAAAUUUAAAACUAUUUUAGAUUCCUGAGCCAGUCUUUAUAAUUAAGUCUGCUUAGAUUAUUGGUUUCAAAAAUGUGAGUGAAAGGGUUAGAAGCUGAUAUUUUAUUCUUACAGAGAGUAAAGAUUCAAGAUAUAUUUUUAUAUUUAUUUUAAAAUAUUUAUUUUAAGAUCAAUUUUUAAAAACAAACGUAUCUCCCACUAUUUUUUUAAAUCUUUUACACUUGUCGGAUAGAGAAAUGGAAACCCUCACGACUAGAAUUUUUAGUGGAUACUGUGGCCCUAUCAAUUUGAGUACACCUCAUCUCAUAAUUAUUGAUGAUAUGCAAAUCAAUAAGUGGACAACUCUUGUCCAAUGCUUCUCAAACAAAUUGCAACCAUCUUCGAUCUCUAAGUCAUGUAGGCCUUACCUAAUAGUUAUUGACUUCAUUCCUUAGUUAAAUCAAACCCACUAUUUAAUGUGUAGGCAAAACCAUCAUUGGAUCCCUCAACUAAUAGUUAUUGGGUCCAACUCCAUCUUUAUUAUGCAGCAUCUUAUAUUAAUAGAAUGACUGUAUCUUUCUAAUACAACUAAACCACUAUAACCAAUCGAGAACAAUCAAUACUAGUAGAAGGCUCAUACAUCUAUAACGAUAGA